CGAGACGUGGCAGAGCAGCAAUUGCAGCGCGCUGUAAACGCGCCGUCCUCACGGACUGCGGAGGUGCAAGUCCUUCCGUCUCGACCA
rnacentral:tRNA from 1 species